CCCGCAAACCAGCGCCAAGCGAGCGGGAGCCUGCCGGGAGUUGUAGUUUCCGUCAGCCAGACCUCUACCUAUAAGAAAGGCUGAGAUGACUGCCGAAAACUUCCCGCCCCACAAUGCAAAGGCCAUUGGUGACGUCAUCUGCAGAGCGCCCGGGAUGGAGCAGGCCGUUCCUACUACCGCCGCUGCAUCAGAGCCUGCCUCCGCCGCCGCCGCCGCCGCCGCCCCCGCCCCCUCCCCCUCCCUCCCCUCCUCUCCCGUCGCCGCCUUCUUGGGCGCUUCUGCCACCUCUACACGAUCCAGGCCCUCUGUCCCUGAGAAGAAGUCGUGUUCAGUUUCCUUUGUGGGCCCAGGGCGCAGCCAUGGCGGACGGCGGAGGCGGCGGGGGCACGGGCUCGGUGGGUGGCGGCGGAGCGGGCCAGGCCUCGGCGGGGUCGGCGACAGGCGCGACGGGGGCCGGUGGGAGCGGCGGCCCCAUCAACCCGGCCUCACUGCCUCCCGGCGACCCACAGCUCAUCGCUCUCAUCGUGGAGCAGCUCAAGAGCCGGGGCUUGUUUGACAGCUUCCGCCGGGACUGCCUGGCGGACGUGGACACCAAGCCAGCUUACCAAAACUUGAGGCAGAAGGUGGAUAAUUUUGUGUCAACACAUCUGGACAAGCAGGAAUGGAAUCCUACAAUGAACAAAAACCAGUUGCGAAAUGGUCUGAGGCAGAGUGUGGUUCAGUCAGGGAUGUUGGAAGCUGGAGUGGACAGAAUCAUUUCUCAAGUGGUGGAUCCCAAACUAAACCACAUCUUCAGACCACAGAUAGAAAGAGCAAUUCACGAGUUCCUGGCGGCCAAGAAGAAAGAAGCCGUGCCAGCGCCCCCUCCAGAGCCUGAGAGCCAGGACCCCCCAGCUCCCUCCCAGGAUGCUUCCUAAGGUCCAGUAUCCCGUCUUUUGUCCAGGAGCAUUCGUCUCUGGCUUAUAGAUGUAUAAAAUGGAUAGAAAAGGGAAUAUGUCUGACACCUUUUGGAAGCUCCACUGAAUUAACCAUGAAGAAAUGGAUUCAGUUACUUAAGAGGAAAACUUCAGAAUGAAGACAGGCUGAGGGCGUCACUGAUUUCAGCGUUCAGCCUUGACCGUGGGGCAGUGUCCAGAUUGAACAGGCAAUAACAGAGUGGACCGUGUGUGCCCCCUCAUUGUGCUGCCGUCUGGUCAGCCUGCCAAAGGGGGUGACACCCAGUAGACACUACAGAGAUAUAAAGAAACACUACAUCAGUCUGGGGUUGUCCUGAAACAAACCUUUAUACUUGAACUUGGGAGACUGUGUGGAUUUUAGGGUUUGUGCUCGGGGAUCCCUAGAGGGGCUGUAGCUACAGUGAAGGAACGUAACCAGUUCCAAAGACACAAUUUCAAAGAAUGACAGUAAAGGUUAGCAUGGAGUAGGAAUUAGUGCUUAUUUGUCAACUAGAAUGUAUAAGCUGUCAGCACCAACUAGCUCGAAAGUUGUCAUGACCCUCUUGUACAUGAAUCUUGUAACUUCGGUUUCCUUUCCUCUGUAAGAGGUGACAACACAUGGGACCAUAGAAUGUGUGAGGAAGUGCAGACAUGAGGUAGAAAGAAAAACAUCUGCAGGCUGUCUGUCCAGGGCUGCUGCUUAUCCUGCAAGGGCUAGUGAGUCUUGGGUGUGUUUAUUUUAUUCUCACGUUUGUGUUUUUUAGAAAAGUUGAAUGAUCAAUAAAUAGCUUAAGUUUUGUAA